AUCUUUUUUUUUUUUUAAGAUUUUAUUUAUUUAUUCAUAGAGACAUAGAGAGGCAGAGACACAGGCAGAGGGAGAAGCAGGCUCCAUGCAAAGAGCCUGACAUGGGACUCGAUCCAGGGUCUCCAGGAUCAUGCCCCGGGCUGCAGGCGGGGCAUGAUCCACCAGGGCUGCCCUGAGAUUAUCUUUUAUAAAAUUAUUGAGACGGGCUCCUACUAAUAAAUUUAGGAGGAAUGGAAUUCAUAGAUCUCCCAUUUGAGAAAUUCUAACACAUAAUCUUACAGAGGAUGAGAACAAUAAAGCAUGCAGCCUAAAAUAUAUAAAAUAACAUUAAUUUUGUAAUUUCCUAGUGUAAGGGCAAUUUUUAAGUUGGUAACAGUUGAAAAAUUCUAAUAUAAAGUAGAUGCAGCAGUCACAAAGGAAGCCUCAGAACUUUCAUGAUGACAAGCAGUGACCUUGCAUUUCAUUUCCCUCAUACAGCCUAAUAAAAGAAGAUGGUUCCACAAAUCCUUUUUUCUUGUGCCUGUGUAAAAUGCAUGUCACAGGUCAGAGGCACCAGCAGAGCCAGCAUUUUAUUCCUCAUUUAUCUCAGGUUUUUUUCUGUAUAUUCUCUUGCUUUCCAUGGUCCACUUUACCCCCUCCAUCCUGCUCCCACUGGAACCAGCAGUCAGCUUGCUUGCUUGCUUUUUUUGUUGAAGGGAGAUCACUUUUCAGAAAGAAAUACCCUCUUUAUGUCUCUCAGUGAGAUGUACUGAGUACGCAUUGGCAAGUAGAGAGCAAGCAAGCUGUGUUGACAUACAGACAUUAGGCUGUUGGCUAGACAUUGAACUUAGCUUGCUUGCCCCUUCUCAAAUGCCAGCUUCAAUAAAAUUUCAGAUGUCUCUGUUUUGGAACUGUUCAGCUCACUUACGAAUAGUCAAAGCUGUGAUUGCUGUACUCACACCUACCAUGGGAUGUAUUGCUGGGAUCAAAACCUCAGAUGCUUGCAGGUGCAAUGGAGGUCAUGUACCUUGCUGAGUGGGUCUGAUCGGCCUGCUCUCUUUAUGCUUCUGAUAGAAACAAUAAGAAACAUCUUUUUUUACUACAACAUAGACAGCAGUGAUAAUCUAGAUGGUAAAUGGUAACUGAAAUUUGUCUCAUUCAGGGGGGGCCUGCAAGGAAAGACACUGGGGAAGGUUGGAUGUGGGACAGUGUGAGCUUACUUUGGAAGGAUGGGUUGGUGUUUGUUAUUGGACAAGGAAGAGAGAGAGGGACAGACAUUCUGGGCAGAGGUUGCAGUGUGUGCAGGGACACAGAGGACAGCAGAGUCUGGCACGUUUGGUGGGACUUGAGUGCAGAGGCGAUGCUACAGGCAGAGGUGGGAGUGGGAAGUUAGGAGGCCUGAAACAGUGGAGAGCCCCAUGUCAUGCUAAUGUCGGCACCUUUUCCAGUAGGCCAGGGAGAGCGGUGGAAAACUUGGGGCACGUGAGACCAACAUUUCAGAAAGAUGACCCUUGGUUGUGCCGUGAAGGGCUUGUGAAUCCAGAGACCAGUGAGGAGCGCUGUGGUCGUGUAGGCUGAGGGGAAGGGCCCCCACCAUGCCCAGCCCCGGAAGCUGGUCAGUAUUUUCCAAUGUCAAGGUAGUGAAAUGGAGUAGCGGAGACUGCAAGCUCCUCUCCUGCUCAGUCUGCCGUGCCUUUUUUUAAAGCUUCUGAUUAAACUCAGUGCAGAAACAUUCAGUGUGUUUAGAGCUUCCAAACACAGAUUAGUGGACGCCUUACCCUUACAUUGCUAAAUGAGGGGUCCCUAAGUGUGGGUGGCAUUGUAAAAUAGGGAGUAGGUGAAGUCUGUAGUGACAGAGUAGCUGCUUGAGUUAAAGAUGUUGGUCACAGGUUACGAACUUUCAGCUCUAAGAUGAGUACAUUCUGGGGAUCUGAUGGACAGCAUUGUGGCUGCAGUUAAUUUUGUAUUGUAUGCUUGAAAAUUGCUAUGAGACUAGAUCUUAAGCAUGUUGACCCCCUCCACACACAAAAAGGUAACUGUGAGGUGAUCGACAUGUAGAUUAACUUGAUGGUGGCAGUCAUUUCACAGUGUAUAUCAGAUCCUUAAGUUGUCCCCUGGAGAUGUAUCCAGUUUUGUCAGUUACACCUCAGGAAAGCUGAGAAAAAAAUAGGGAGUAGGUACACUAAGGGAGAGAUGGGAUAAGAAUAAAUGGGGUGAGAUUUACACCAAAGCAAGAACUUAAAAUAAUUUGGGCAUUAGUAAAGUCAAUAAUAGCUUAUUUGUAAUAUUAAGAAUACCUUACUAUUGGAUUACCUACCUGUGAAGUUUUCAGGCUAAAAGUGAAUCCUCUGAUUUUAAUGCUGCUGGACCAGGAUAGGAUUUUAGGCAUUGUGAUAAAAUGAGGAGACACAAGAGUUGUCCUUGUUGUUACUAAUUGUUGGCAGUUAUGUUACAUUGUGGGCCCAUUUCACUGAUCAGCCCUUUGCGUUUUUCCCACAUGUUACAGCUAGAUCACAUCUCUUCUGACCUGUAUUUGUUCAUUUUGCACAUGUUGCCAUUGUCAGCAUCAGCAUCAUUUUAUUUUGGACCCUGAAAUUAUUGAUGCUAGAUUUAUCUUUCAUACUAGUUUAUUGGAUUAACUUAUUAGAAUCCUUAUUACUACACUGUAAUAUAUUUGGUAUUUUGCCCAUUCUUUUCAUCUACAGAUUGAGAAAUGGGUUUCCUGGGUCAUCAUCGAGUUCAUUAAUGAAAAGCACAAGAAAAACAGGCCAAAUUGACAUCAUCCUAUAAUUAGUGCCCUUUGAGAAAGGUUGAGCACCAUCAAAUUAAUCUACAUGUCGAUCGCCUCACAGUUACCUUUUUGUGUGUGGAGGGGGUCAGCAUGCUUAAGAUCUAGUCUCAUAGCAAUUUUCAAGCAUACAAAACAACCCUCUAUAGUCUUUUGUAUACAGUAUGUGUCUCUUCAUCUUGCUCAUAAAUAUCUUUAAAGCAUUUAGAAAAGCUCUUGCUGACACUUGGUUUUCUCAGUUCAGUUGCCUUAUCAAGUAAGAAGGUAAGGUGAGUAAGGGGGUAUGGGUGGGCUGAGGUUCAUUGGCCCAGGGUCCCUUUCCUGAUAUGUUCUGUAAUCUUACCCAGCAUCAAUGUCAAGCUCACGUCUCUUCUCUCAUCUGUAGAAUGUGCUUUCUUGACAGGAUAUCCCACAGAACAUCCUUUUCCAAAAACAGUUUGGCCAGAAACCAGUUAUUUCUGUUGUAUUUUUCAUUCUCUAUUUCGCUCUAUUUAGAAGUUUCGAGUGAAUGUAAGGUGAAGUAUUGCGCUUCCACAUGCUUAAAAGAUGUCAUAGAUUAUGGUCAGAAGCUAAAGAUUUUGUUUUAAUUCUUUUUUCCCUGUUUUCCUUUUGAGAAGCAUUUACAUUCUAAAAUAAUGCUUAGGACUUGGACAUCUGGAUUUAAAUAAUGCUAUAAAGAAAAGAAAAGGACCAUUUGAAUUCUUUUGGAGAGGAGAGAGCUUUGAGAUUCUGACCCCAAAGAGUGUUAAGAAAACAUUCAGGCACAUUUUGGUCAAUAUCUGUGCACUGAAAUAUAAAUCUUCAAACAGUUUAUAUUUUAAGAUUAUUUCAACAGCAAGUCCAGAAUUUUUUAAUGCCAAUACAUUUUGAAAACAGGUUGUUAACUGGUGCCCUAAGAACUGUACUUGGCCUACAAAUAUGUUUUCUUUGGCUCACAUAGUGUUUCAUAAAGAGUUAGUUGCCAACAUUUAAAAAUAAGGAGAUUUCACGUUAUAAAACCAAACCUGCAUUCCUGUUCCUUUUUGAAAAUCUUGAUGGUCUAUGACUACACUGGACCACGUUCUACAUGGUGGUUGUAUAGAAGUAAAGCACCAGCAGGAGGCUACCCACCGCCGCUGUGCACUCCUUACUCCGUCCCUGUGGCCAGCCUCACUCACUUCAUCGGGCUGGUCCUCAGGGUGGGUUUGAGCUCGUACCUGCCGAGUCAGAGAGCUAGCUAACUAAAAGUAUACCUCAAGGUUGGGAGGAGAAUAGUAAGGUGGAAGCAAUUUGAGAUUUUGUUCCCUGAACGUAGGUUGUUUGAGCUCGGUCAUGAUGUGAGGACUGGCAGUGCUUGGGAAAGUAAGUGGGGUAAUUCUCCCAGGAGCGGUGUUCGGCUGGGCAGUGUGGAGAGCAGCCUCCCUCGUGGCAUUCUAGAUCUGCUAGUUCAAGGCGACAGGCAGGCUGUCCUAGGAAUCGAGUUGCUGUGCAUUUCUUAGGGGAGGUGGAAAGUAGGGGAGGUAGGCCCUAGGGCGCUGUCAUGGGAUUUUAGUGAUGUUAGGAGAUUUGUCCGAGGAGGUCACAUACCUGCCACCUGAUCAGUGGUGGGGUACGGACCGGAGCCCAGGACACGUGACUCUGGUUCAGUGAUAUUUUCUUUUUCCACUCCAUGUUUUUCACUUAUGUGUAAUGGGCUAGAGAUGAGGUUGGUAACCAGGCUUGGACUCAAAUCCAAGUUCUGCCCCUGACUAGCUGUGUGACCUCAGGCAAGUGUCAAAAACCUGUCUGUGCCUCAUUUUCCUUGUUAUAAAGAAGGGGAGAAUGAUGAUACUGGCCUCAUCAGGUGGGUAUAGGGAUUUAAUCUGAUACUGCAUUUGAGGAACUUAAAAUGGUGCCUGCCGAUAAUAAAUAGUGCAUUAACACUGCGUGAUACCUGAAAAAUAACAUUUAUAAAUUGUGUAUUAUCACAGCAGACUUAGCUAAAAGUAGCAUUUCAACCACACAAUACUAAUGCAUAAUAUUUUCUUCCUCUUAGAAUUUAGGAAGGAUUUAUAGGAUAAUUUUGCUCCAUGUAUUCUUUUGAAAAGCCUCCAAAAAAAAAAAAAA
rnacentral:lncRNA from 1 species